GGCCUGCGGGAUCGAAGGGAAAGGAAUCCGAUCCGGGGAGGCAAGCCUGGGAGACGUGCUGAAUGAACUGGGAUUUCUUGGAGAAGUGGUAGAGCCAAGCUCUGGAACCGGAAAUACGCAAGGGAUCUCCAGCUCCAUGAAUGGUAUCUCCAUCUCUUCAGGUGACUGAGUUGGAAAUCUUGGCUUCACUCCACCAAUGACCUGAGUCAUUCUUAGAAAGUCUGAAGAAGGAGCAUGCAGCUCUGAGGGUGGCAGCAGGUCCAGGAAUUGGAAUGUGACCACAGGGGAAUUCUUCAUAAAGGGCUGAACUUUACUGGAUGAGUUUCCCCUGGAAUACCAGGAAGUCAUAUGAAAUCACAGUUUAGGAAGUGCAUUCAACAGUAUAUGGCAGACAUCAUUUCGUGUUAAUAAAUAUAUCCAGCCCUGAACCC
rnacentral:lncRNA from 10 species